AAAACAUGUCCUUUAGGAUUGAAUUUAAGGUCUAGCCUGCCCACUGAGUUAUUAAAUGGCCGCAGUAUUUUAACUGUGCAAAGGUAGCAUAAUCAUUAGUCUUUUAAUUGAAGGCUUGCAUGAAUGGUUGGACAAAAUAUAUAUUGUUUCAUAUAAAUUUAUAGAAUUUUAUUUUUUAGUUAAAAAGCUGAAAUUUAAUUAAAAGACGAGAAGACCCUAUAGAUCUUUAUAAUUAUUGGAUUUAAUUUAUAAAGAAUAUUUUAUUUUUAAUUUAUAUAAUUAUUUUAUUGGGGUGAUAGUAAGAUUUAUUUAACUCUUAUAUAGGUUUAUACAUAAAUUAAUGAAUAGUUGAUCCAGUAUUAUUGAUUAUUAAAAUAAGUUACCUUAGGGAUAACAGCGUAAUUUUUUUAGAGAGUUCAUAUCGAUAAAAAAGAUUGCGACCUCGAUGUUGGAUUAAGAGAUAAGUUUGGGUGUAGCCGUUCAAAUUUAAAGUCUGUUCGACUUUUUGAUUCUUACAUGAUCUGAGUUCAAACC
rnacentral:rRNA from 1 species